UGCCUAACCUCUUCAAAAUAUAUAUUUAAGACAAUGGACAAUUCUAUUGCUAUACAUUUUCGUAAUUAACCGAGGCCUAUACAUGGUACAUUCACAAAAAUUACAAGCAUAAGGCUUUGAGUAGUUUAUGAGAAUGUCAUUCUCAUGAUCACUGUUAAGCAGACAAAAAGUAAAACAUAGCUUAUACUUUUGAUGCUACAUCAGAGAGCUUUAUAUCUUUGAGUUUUUGGUUCCUUACUCUGAAAUUAGAAAAUCACCCUUUGUCCAUGUUUAUUAGCUCUUUCACAUGUCUAGGGAGAUGAUCAGUAAAGGUAGUGUAGCCCUUAGUAGUCUGUGAUGUGUGACUUAGAGCCGCAAGAUGCUCUACUACCUGAUUUGCUUUCUGUAGCAGUGCUGGAUGGUACUACCCAGUAGCCUUCUAAUUUGAAGGUCUCUUUCAUCUAUGAUAAUAAAAGCAUGGAACCAGUUUUCAGUCUCAGGGCUAUAAAACCAUUUAGAAUACACCACUGUAUUCCAAAAAAAGAACCUUUGUUUCUGCCACAUUACUGGUUCCCUGUAUCGGUAAAAAUUACCCUCUUCACGCGACCUGACCGAAAAGUCUCACAUGGCAAUUGAGACCUAGUGAGCAAGUGAUGGGACCCGUUGACGAAUUCGGAGGAAAUGGUCAUCGAAGGGUCAAGUAUUCGAAGAGGUGGUUGAAUAAGUUCGGAGACUCACUCAACCUGAUCCUUAGAUUGUGGAUAUCUAUGUUACGCCGAAACGGAAGCCAAUAUCGAGGAUCACUACCAGAAAAUCUAGUGGUUCUCCGCGCGGCGGUGGGGGCAUCGGCUCAGUCGACUUCUCUGGCAUUUUUUCCGUCGAGGUACUUUGAGCUUCAAAAAUGGACACAAACACAAAUACAAAUGUUGAGGAUUUGAACUAUGAUACCAAUAGAUUCAUGUCUUCCGAUUGUCAAAGACGAUAUUUUUAUAAUCUCCUCACGAAAAAGCUCAAACUUGAGAAAGAAAUUGCCGAUGACAAAGUGGCUGAGCUCCUUCCGGAUUUUCAUGGUCAGAUAGUUUGAAGAGCCUGGACAUGCUUCAUCCCAACUCCUUGCAAGGUCAAUGCAGAAUGGAUGAGGGAAUUUUAUGCAAACUUAAAGCGUACACAUUUUCGAAACCAUGAACUUACAAUAAAGGGAAUGAUUGUGAAAUUUAGACUUGAGGAGAUAAAUGGUAUCUAUGGGCUUCAAAAUCACCGACUUGAGCCAAUGCGAGAAAGAGAUACAUGUGACAAUGGUGAGUGGCUAGUCUCAAAACUCUGUCCUGCAGGCAAAAUAGUGAGUAGGGCUAAAAAGAAGAAGGGCAUCAAAUUUGGUAAUUUUACAGCUGAACAAAAAAUGUGGUUGUAUAUCAUUACGAGCAGAGUGUCUCCUUCUGGGAACGGUUCUGAUGUCCCAUAUACUAAGGCCCUGAUGAUUGCUUGCAUCCUUGAUGGCAUUCCAGUGAAUGUCAGUUAUUACAUCGUUCAGGAGCUGAAGGAGUACAUGCUUCAAGGUAGCUCGACAUUGAUGUUUCCGUCAUUGAUUAUAGAGUUAUGCCGGCGUACGCAGGUUGAUGAGUAUAAUGGAGAUCAUUGGACACCAGCGACAAACCCUUUCACCCAUUGAGAGUGACCGCAUAAGGCAGUGUUCUAAAGAGCAAAAAAAGGAAAAUGGAGAUUUCUUUAGGUGAAGGGUCCUCCUCACAAGCUAUACAACCCGAGGGACCUUUUGGGGUGCUGAAUUCCCAGAUUACCUCUAUUUGUGACUUAGUAUCACAGCUCCUUAGUGGACCCUCACACUCCCAGCCUAUGCUUGAGUAUUGUACUAGGGAAGAAAUGAAGACUUACUUGGAAGCCCAGAAAAAGCAGGCAGAGUUUCAUGAGAAGUUAGCAGCUUCUGUUACCGGGCUCGAGGAAUCACGAAGGAGAGAGAGAGAAACAAGAAGAAAGGCAAAUUUAUGAUAAAGAUAUGGAGAUGAAUCAAGGCCAUCUUUAAAUUGGGGCCGCCGAACAAGAACAUACUGGUCAAGGACAAGGACGACAGUAAGGGGUAUUCCUUCUUAUCGGAUGAUGCUGAUGCUGAUGAUACCGGUGAGGAUGAAGCCGAAAGCUCUACACAGCAAAGAUGAGCUUUUUCACGCAGUUUGCUAGUUUGAUGCAGACUUCAGGGAGACCCUCAAACUACUCUUAUUUUAUUCUGAUACUGUGCAGUGAGGACACUGCAGUGUUUUUAGUUGGGGUGGAUUUUAGGGAGUAUACUUCAUUUAUACAUCAAUGCUUUACUGGUACCCUUGCCGGGAUUGUGAUUUUGUAUGGAGCUCACAGGCUGAAUCAUUCCGAAGUACGAAUGCUCUCGAGAUUCAACAACUCUAGUGAGAUGACCCAUAAAGAAGUAACAUUAGAGACCAAUGCUGAAGGGGUAUCUAAGGAUACCCCGUUUCAAGUCAUCGCAGGAGAUAUGGCCUACAACAACAUCCUAAGAGGCCAUGGAUUCAUGAGAUGGAUGCGGUGCCCUCAACUUUGCACCGGGUGAUAAAUUUCCCAUCCAAAUAAGGGAUACCACAGGUCCGAGGAGAAUAAAGAGCGUCUCGGGAAGUCAACUCAAUUGUCGUUGCUAACACUAUCUCUAAAGAGGAUAGCAAUAUCUCCAACGAGAAAACCGCCGAAUACGAACCUCAGCAACAAAGGGAGGGAAUGUGGCUGACACCACUGAAAUAGCCCCCCCUCCAUAUAGAAUCGUUGAACCCAAAGAAGAUGAUGCCUCCUCCCCAAUGGUAGAAGAACUAGAAAAAGUGAUCCUCUUUAUUCACUGGCCGGACGGGAAGGUCUACAUUGGCCCAAGACUGAGUCCUGAGUAGAAACAUAAGUUAAUUAAAUUUUUGCAAGAUAAUUCAGAUUGUUUUGAUUGGUCUCAUACAUAUAUAAAGGGAAUUCUAGUGGAUAUCGUAGUACAAAAAUUGAAUAUGGACCCAAACCACCGACCUGUGAAGCAAUAAAAGAGAAACAUUGGACAACGAUCCCGAGCGACGGAGGAAGAGGUCACCAAGCUACUAAAAAAUUGUUACAUCUGCAAAGUGAAAUACCUGAAAUGGCUAGCCAACAUCGUCGUGGUUCCAUAAAUAACGGCAAAUUGAGAGUCUAUGUCGAUUAUCAAGACCCGAACAAAGCUUGCCCAAAGGAUUGCUUUCCUUUCACGAACAUCGAUCAACUCAUAGAUUCCACAACUAGUCACGAAUUAUUAAGCUCUUUGGAUACAUAUUCAGGGUACAACCAGAUGAAAAUGGACCCUAGGUACCAAUAAAAAGCUUCAUUCAUUAUAGAUAAGGUAACUUACUACUACAACGUCAUGCCAUUCGGCUUAAAAAAUGCUGGAGCAACGUACCAAAGACUAGUCACUCGAAUAUUCCAGGACUACAGUGGAAAAUUCAUAGAAGUAUACAUUGAUGAUAUGUUAGAAAAACUAGUUCAAACCAGAGAUAAUCUGAACCACUUGCAAAAAGCCUUCGAAGUCUUUCAAAAGUAUAGCAUGAAACUCUACUCGGAAAAGUGUGCCUCCGGGGUCAGUUCAGGUAAGUUCCUCGGUUUUCUGGUUUCAAAUAGAGAUAUAGAAGCUAACCCCAUGUAGAUCAAAGUGAUUGAGAAUAUACCCAAAGUGCUAAAAAGUCAAAAGGAAGUGAUGAGGUUGACCGGAAGUGUAGCAGCGCUCGAGUGAUUCAUAUCUCGUUCCUCCGAGAGUCUCACAAAAUCUUUGCAGCACUAAAGAAGAACAAGAACUUUAAAUGGAUUGCUGAGUGUCAAAAAGCAGUGCGAGACUAGAAAACUUACUUGUCUAUACCACCUCUUUUGUCAAAGCCCGAAGUGGGAGAACGACUCUUUUUCUACCUGGCAGUAGUGGAAACCGCUUUAAGUGCUUUUUUGGUGCGAGAAAAUGAAGGUACGCUGUCUCCCGUUUAGUAUGAAAGUAGAUCACUAGUAAAUGACAAAACUAUAUACCCAUAUUUAGAAAAACUUUCACUAGCACUUGUAAUGGUUGCGUCAUUAUAUUCAAUAUCAUCCUAUUUUGGUGGUCCAUGCUUUCCCGUUGAGGAGUAUUCUCCAUAAGCUAGAACUCUUAGGGUGACUCUCCAAAUGGGCAGCUGAAUUAAGCGCGUAAAAUCACAGGUCUUGGUGGAUUUUAUUGCCGAUUUCAGUACUAAUAUACUCCCUGAGGCAGAGAAUGGGUCACUGAUAGCCUCUGAAACCAUCUUAGGAUUCUGGACCCUAUAUACGAACGGCUCAUCUAAUGUUAAGGGGUCUGGUCUGGGGAUAUUAAUCAUCACACUGACUGGUGAGGCAGUUCAAUAGUCAAUAAAGUGCCCUUCAGUAACUAACAAUGAGGCAGAGUAUAAAUUUGAUAUUGCAGGACUCGACUAGCUCGAGGACUCGGCACCGAAUAAGCCGAGCUGAAAAUGACUUGCACAUGAUCAUCAAACAGAUGCUCAGGACAUACAUGGCUCGAGAAACACGGAUGCAACAAUACCUUUUUAGAGUUACUCGGCUCCUAGAACAUUUUCAAGAAUAGAAGGCAACACAAAUACCCCGAGAGGAAAAUGCUGAAGCAGAAGCGCUAGCCAACGUGGGGUCAGCCACAAACAUCUCAAACACAGAAGCAAGCUUUGUCAUCAAUUUAUUACGAUCGACCCUAGAUUCCAAUCAAGAAGACGUAAAUACCGUUAAUGUGAUUAUAUAUUAGAGCAAUGACUUCAUUGAUUAUUUGCAGAACGACACGAUACCUAAAGAUAAAAAGGCUGCUCAGCAACUCAAGGUUCGGGCGAGGAGAUACUGCCUCAUUGAAGGAUAUAUAUACCUAAGAAACUUUAACAGUCCUCUAGCAAAAUGUUUGGGAGAAACCACUUAAGAGAUAGGUUGCUAGUUAGGAAGCUGAUUAGAGCCAGAUACUACUGGACCCGUAUGGAACAUGAUGCUACCAAUUUUGUCAAAACAUAUGAAAGCCCCUGUCAUUCUCGCACCGGCUCCAACAGCUGGCCGAACUACUACAUUCUAUAUUGUCUCCUUGGCUGUUCAUGAAGUUGGGGGUAAAAAUAAUGGGACCUUUAUCACAAGCUCCAAGCCAAGUAAAUUAUUUACUUGUAUUAACUGAUUAGUUUUUUAAAUGGGUGGAAGAAGGUACUUAUUCACAGAUCCGAGAAAAGAAAAUGAUCAACUUUGUAUGGAGGAAUAUCAUAUGAAGAUUUGGUGUACUGAACAAAAUUGCUUGUGACAAUGGACCACAAAUCGUAGGAGCUAAAGUGACCAAGUUUUUUUGAAGAAUGAAAACUAAAAAGAAUUACCUCCAGACUCCAUCACCCCGGAGCUAACGGACAAGUUGAGUCUUCAACCAAAGUCCUACUUGAGUAUUUGAAAAAAGGUUAGAAAUAGAAAAAGGCAAGUGGCCGAACGAAUUGCCCGGAGUAUUAUGAGCUCAUCGCACAACAGCAAAGUCGAGCACCAGAGAGACUCUCUUUUCACUAGUGUAUGAGUCCGAAGCACUGAUUACGGUUAAAAUAGAGAAACAAAGCCUAAGAUUCGCACGCACAACCGGAGACUCCAACGUCGGAGUAGUCACACACAUCCUAGACCUGAUCGAAAGACGAAGGGAGAUGACUUUAGUUCGUAUGGAUGCACAGAAAUAGCGAACCAAAAAAUAUUACAGCAAGAAAUUUAACCUGUAUCAUGUCAAGGUAGACGACUAUGCGCUCCGAAGUGUGUUUGCAGCAUCCUAGGAGCCGAACAUGGGAAAACUAGGUCCGAAUUUAGAAGGACCCUAUAGAAUCACCGAUAUAAUGCUCAAGGGAUCGUACAAGCUUGAAGAAAUGGAUGGAAAUCCAGUAAAGGCAAAUUAGAACGCUACAUAUAUGAGAAAACUGCUAUCUUCUUUGACUGUGAUUCUACUAGACUUUCAUGAUUAGUACUCUUGUAUCUAAAGUCUUUUUUAGGAUUAUAUGGAUCAUAAUUCGAUUUGAAAUUCUACUUGGAAUGGUUUGCUAUCUUACAGUGCUUAAUCCUGUUACUGUGAACAUAUUUGUUUUUGGAAAAUAUAACAUGAACUUGCUUCACAUGUGUCUUGUGUGCCUUUAAAUUUAGCAUGAUCCUGUUUAUGUGUUUUGGCCAGACCUGUUGAUGGCUACAGCUUUAGGAACUAAGUGUUUAAAUUGUUUAAUAAGUAUUUCAUGACUUGUAUAAUCUGGAAUCCAUUUGGGUGAGUAAGUUAUAAAUUGGGCCUGGGAUUGGUCCAUGCAUAUUGUUGGACCAGGGAACUGAAUUCAGGUGCACUCUAGUUGUCUUGUGAGCAUGUGAUUUGGACUUGCUGUUUGUAUGGAGAAGGCCUAAGGAUACCCAUGGGUU